UGGAACACAAAGUGCCACACAACGCAGCCU
rnacentral:piRNA from 1 species